UGGCGAACGGGUGAGUAACACGUGGGUAACCUGCCCAUCAGAAGGGGAUAACACUUGGAAACAGGUGCUAAUACCGUAUAACACUAUUUUCCGCAUGGAAGAAAGUUGAAAGGCGCUUUUGCGUCACUGAUGGAUGGACCCGCGGUGCAUUAGCUAGUUGGUGAGGUAACGGCUCACCAAGGCAACGAUGCAUAGCCGACCUGAGAGGGUGAUCGGCCACACUGGGACUGAGACACGGCCCAGACUCCUACGGGAGGCAGCAGUAGGGAAUCUUCGGCAAUGGACGAAAGUCUGACCGAGCAACGCCGCGUGAGUGAAGAAGGUUUUCGGAUCGUAAAACUCUGUUGUUAGAGAAGAACAAGGAUGAGAGUAGAACGUUCAUC
rnacentral:rRNA from 1 species